ACAUUCACACACACAGCUACACACAUACUCUAACACCGACAUCCAGACAUACUCUAACACUCUCUCACCCCUACACACUCACACACCUAACGCAUACACACAUGCUUUUGCUCACACAGUGACAGACAUAUUCACACUUACACACCUAUACACACCCGCACACUAACACUGGUCACACUCUACCACACAUACACACACACUCCGCUCACACCCUCACAUUCUCACACACACUCCCUCACACACCCUCACAUUCUCACACACAUGCCCUCACACACCCUCACAUUCUCACACGCCCUCACACACCCUCACAUUCUCACACGCCCUCACACACCCUCACAUUCUCACACACACUCCCUCACACACCCUCACAUUCUCAGACACACGCCCUCACCCUCACAUUCUCACACUCACACACCCUCACAUCCUCUCACACACUCCCUCACACACCCUCACAUUCUCACACUCAUGCCCUCACGCUCGCAUCUCACUCUCACACACGCCCUCCACACCCUCACAUUCUCACACUUACACACACUUGCUCUCACAUUCUCACACUCACAUGCCCUCACACACCCUUGCAUUCUCACACACGUCCUCACAUAUAUGUCCUCACACAUUCUCAAAAACACACGACCUCACACACCC
rnacentral:lncRNA from 1 species